GACGAACGCUGGCGGCGUGCUUAACACAUGCAAGUCGAACGGUAAGGCCCUUCGGGGUACACGAGUGGCGAACGGGUGAGUAACACGUGGGUGAUCUGCCCUGCACUUCGGGAUAAGCCUGGGAAACUGGGUCUAAUACCGGCUAGGACCCUGGGAUGCAUGUACUGGGGUGGAAAGCUUUUGCGGUGUGGGAUGGGCCCGCGGCCUAUCAGCUUGUUGGUGGGGUGAUGGCCUACCAAGGCGACGACGGGUAGCCGGCCUGAGAGGGUGACCGGCCACACUGGGACUGAGAUACGGCCCAGACUCCUACGGGAGGCAGCAGUGGGGAAUAUUGCACAAUGGGCGCAAGCCUGAUGCAGCGACGCCGCGUGAGGGAUGACGGCCUUCGGGUUGUAAACCUCUUUCAGCACCGACGAAGCGCAAGUGACGGUAGGUGCAGAAGAAGGACCGGCCAACUACGUGCCAGCAGCCGCAGUAACAC
rnacentral:rRNA from 1 species